CGCAAAGAGGAGCCUGCUGGUCUGCUGGCGGGCAGGCGGCGCUGGGCCGGAGCCUCUCCCUCCGGUGCGCACAGCGCACCCUCUCCUCCCCCGGCCGCCCGUCGCAGCGCGGAGAGGGCGUGUCGGCACCCUGCCUGGCGAGCGCCCACCCCUACAAUGGCUGCGAGCGCGCGGGACGGAGGGUGCACCGCCGCUCCCCGGGGACUUGCACGGGUGGCGCGCCUAGCCCAGAGCCCGCUUGUAGUGAGCGCUCAGUAGGGCGGGAAAGCUGCUGCCGCUACUGCGGCCUUCUGAGAAGACGCCCAUUCUCUGAUGUCAGGACUGCAUCGCCGAGUCCUGAUUGCAAAUAGCGAAAUAUAUAAUUAAGGAGAGUUCGGGGGCGUAUCCUGCAAUGGGAUGCCGAGUUCGAUAAAGUUGCAGGAUGCUGGGAAAGUGGAUUGAUUUGCUGUUGCUAAAUGAAUGGAAACAGCGUUAGAGCUUCUGUCCACGAUCCAUCAGUCUAUCGAGAUUGCUGAUUGCCUAUGACUUGGACGGUUGAUGGUUUUCAGGCCCACUGAGAGCAGCCAGCGUUGGUAUAACCGCAGGGAGCCCUCCUGGGAGGUUGAACCUGCAGAGCGCAAAUGUGCCCAGGUUGAUUUGGGGCCUAGUGGUCCAUUUUCACAGCUCCACUGCCUAUCUGCAUAACCAGGAGCCCUCAUUCAGAUGAACGCCAAAUGGGCCAGAGGGAGGAGAAUCAAAUGAGCAACUUUUAAAAGAUAUUAAGACAUAGGCACCUAACUCCGGACAGUUCCUUUAACCCUUGAGCUAACCAUUUGAAGCACAAAACAUAACAAAAGAAAAGACUGGGGGGAGUGGGGCCAAAAGAAACCAAGUGCAAAAUUCUGUACACUUGUGUCAGAUUCACUCCGUAAUGGGAAAAGGUCUGGCUUUGAAAACUUUAUGGAUCAAAGGGAUGCAUGGAGUUACACAGCACAGCUGCAGAAGAUAAUGUUCCCCUGGAUCACUCUGCCCAACUCUUAACUGCAACCCACCUUCCCCAUCCGUCUCCCCGAAAUCACCCGGAAGGGUGUUACCUUCAGGAAGUAACUGAUCUCUUGAUCACCCCUGCUGGAUCCUGUCCCCAAGGGCGUUCGAAUGCAUCCGACUCAUCUUCACCUUGCCAAUAACGGGUGCUUGACACAUCGUUUGCUGCCAAUCAUUAUUGUGAUUUUAAUACUAUUGGUAUUCUAACUAUCAAGAUGACUGCUUGUAGAGCCAGAUUGCCUGGAUUCAAACUCCAGUUCACAACCUACUAACUGUAUGCCUUUAGGUAAACUCAGAUGCCUCUGAUGGAUUCGAAAUAACCAGAUAUAUUUCUGAAUUGCUUCAUAUGAAACAGUUGGGAAAAGAGAUUAAGGAAGGGAUGGUGCUGUUGGCUCCAGGCAGUGACUCAAGGAGGCAUUCAUGGUGAAAGAAGAAAGGCCUUUCUCAGGUGAUGCUUCAUCUUCCCCCACGUGCUCUGAUACCCUGUCCCUGCCUUGAUGUGUCUAUAAAUACAAACAGCAGGAGACCCGCAUCAGUAGACAAAGCAGGUGGCUGCAACCUAUUCUUCUUCCCAAUGGCCACUG
rnacentral:lncRNA from 1 species